CGUGCAUUUAUCAGACCAAAAACCGGCCGCGUCUUCGGGCGCGUUCGCCUUGGUGACUCUGGAUAACUUUGCGGAUCGCACGGUCUAGCACCGGCGACGGAUCAUUCAAGUGUCUGCCCUAUCAACUUUCGUCGGUACGGUAUUUGCCUACCGAGGUUCUUACGGGUGACGGGGAAUCAGGGUUCGAUUCCGGAGAGGGAGCCUGAGAAACGGCUACCACAUCCAAGGAAGGCAGCAGGCGCGCAAAUUACCCAUUCCCGACGCGGGGAGGUAGUGACGAAAAAUAACAAUGCAGGACUCGUUCGAGGCCCUGUAAUUGGAAUGAGUACACUUUAAAAGCUUUAACGAGUAUCCAUUGGAGGGCAAGUCUGGUGCCAGCAGCCGCGGUAAUUCCAGCUCCAAAAGUAUAUAUUUAAGUUGUUGCGGUUAAAAAGCUCGUAGUUGGAUUUUGGGCGCAGGCGGCCGGUCCGUCGCAAGGCGUGUACUGGACGUCCUGGCCUUCCCUCCGGUUCUCCGCCGACACUCUUGACUGAGUGUCGGCGGCGGCCGGAACGUUUACUUUGAAAAAAUAGAGUGUUCAAAGCAGGCUCUCGAGCCUGGAUAAUGGUGCAUGGAAUAAUGGAAUAGGACCUCGGUUCUAUUUUGUUGGUUUUCGGAGCGCGAGGUAAUGAUUAAGAGGGACAGACGGGGGCAUUCGUACUGUGCCGUUAGAGGUGAAAUUCUUGGAUCGGCGCAAGACGAACGACUGCGAAAGCAUUUGCCAAGAAUGUUUUCUUUAAUCAAGAGCGAAAGUCAGAGGUUCGAAGACGAUCAGAUACCGUCCUAGUUCUGACUAUAAACGAUGCCAACUAGCGAUCGGGGGGCGUUACAUUGACGACCCCUCCGGCAGCUUACGGGAAACCAAAGUCUUUGGGUUCCGGGGGAAGUAUGGUUGCAAAGCUGAAACUUAAAGGAAUUGACGGAAGGGCACCACCAGGAGUGGAGCCUGCGGCUUAAUUUGACUCAACACGGGAAAUCUCACCCGGCCCGGACACAGUGAGGAUUGACAGAUUGAGAGCUCUUUCUUGAUUCUGUGGGUGGGGUGGUGCAUGGCCGUUCUUAGUUGGUGGAGCGAUUUGUCUGGUUAAUUCCGAUAACGAACGAGACUCUGGCUUGCUAAAUAGUUACG
rnacentral:rRNA from 1 species